GAUGGCAUUAUAUAGAAUCUAUCUAGUAACACGGCGCAUCCCAGGAAGUCAUUGAGAUGUGACGACCUUGCUCGUAAAUCAUAAUUAUAAAUUGGUGAUAGAAACUAUAGUGACUAAAAAGCCCGGCUGCAGUUCCUUCUCUCGUAUGUAUAUGCUCAAUCCUGGUCAGGAAAAUCUCAAAAUCUGGUUAAGAUUAGUCUCUUCGGGCUUGAGGUUUUGCGAAGCGCCAAGAGCCCAACAUGAACGAUAUAAUAUAUGCUUAUCUAUCACCACAACAUCUAGG
rnacentral:misc_RNA from 1 species